AACAGUUUUAUGUUUGGUUAAGUAAAAACCCAGAACUAGCGUGGUCUCUGUUGUCUGCAUUUAUGCUUCCCCCUAAUUAUAUUGGAAGCUUUUGGAACUUGCACAUUCAGUGUUUAUAAAGGGGUGUAUAAUGAGUUUUUCCUAUGACUUUGCUUUAGUGUUUAGUCAUAAGAAAGUGGUAAGAACUAGACUCUGUUGAUAAAACAUGGUUACUAUUGCAUAUUUGUUAUGCUUCAGGUAAUGCAGUGUAAAUCAUUAAACACAUUUAAUGAUGAAUUAUUUGAAUUUAUAUUAUCUGUAACUUGGGAAAUUUUGUAGUCCUUAAAAGAGACCCAGUUUUCAAGUUCUAUUUUUGACCACCUUCAAAUAUACUCCACUACCCACUGUAUAUUAGAAUCUGUGUAGAAGUAGUUUAUAAGUCGGCCUGUUUAAAAUAUAUCAAAACAAAUACUGCUGGGGAUUUGGCCUGGUAGUAGAAUGGUUUGCCUAGCUAGUAUGUGGAAGGCCUUGGGUUUAAUUUUAAAGUAUGACCAAAACAUUAAAAAAAAAAAAAAGCAUGAACAUUUAACAAUAACAUUUCUAAGUAAAUGUUUUUAUGCCACUAAAAUGUGAAGUUGUGAAGUGUUCAUAUAAACUAAAUAAAUGUGUUGGGAAUCUUGAGACAGAAAGGCAGAAUAGCACUGUUCCUCAAGGAGGGAAGUCAAGGCAGGAGUCUGCUGGUGGGGGUUGAUACAAAGUGAUUGCUGCCUACUGCCUUGCUUUCCAUGGCUUGCUCAUUUGCUUUCUUACAGAAGCCAAGGCCACUAGUCCAGGGUGGCACUGCACACGGGCUGGGCCCUUCCCAUUCGCCACUAAUUAAGAAAAUGCCUUUCAGGGUUGCUUACUUCCUGGUUUCAUGGAGCCAUUUUCUCAGUUGAAGUGUUCUCUGCUUGCAUGUCUCUAGCUGUGUCAGGCAUCUAAUAAGGAUGGGGUGGUCUUUUAGUGCAGAUGUGUUUCUUUUCCUUUUUAUUAGUAUGUAAUUGUUUAAAACAGGCUGUCACGACACAUGCAUACAUGUGUGUAAUGAGCUUUGGUCAUACUCCCCUUCUUGCCUCAUACUGAACCCCUUCCCUAUUUCCAGGAUUGUCUUAAACAAGUAGUCCAUUUACGAGGCUGAUGUUAUUAAAGUGGGUAAGAUCCAAAAUCUUUACUCUUCUUGUCUGAGAGCUCCUUGAACUCAAGAAACAAACUGUUUUUAGCAAAUUUUCUAAGAUAAAACUAUCCCUUGAUGUUCAAUUAUUUAAACC
rnacentral:lncRNA from 1 species